CCUACGGGUGGCAGCAGUGGGGAAUUUUGCACAAUGGAGGAAACUCUGAUGCAGCGACGCCGCGUGAGUGAAUGAGUAUUUUGUUAUGUAAAACCCUUUCAGUGGGGCAGAAAGUGACGGUACCCGCAAAAGAAGCUCCGGCUAACUCCGUGCCAGCAGCCGCGGUAAUACGUAUGGAGCAAGCGUUAUCCGGAUUCACUGGGUGUAAAGGGAGAGUAGGCGGCAGGUGAAGUCUGAAGUGAAAGCCGAAGGCUCAACUUUUGGACUGCAUUAGAUACUGCGCAGCUAGAGUGCGGGAGAGGCAAGUGGAAUUCUUGGUGUAGCGGUGAAAUGCGUAGAUAUUAGGAGGAACACCAGUGGCGAAGGCGGGUUGCUGGACUGUAACUGACGCUGAGGCACGAAAGCGAGGGGAGCAAACGGGAUUAGAUACCCGUGUAGUC
rnacentral:rRNA from 1 species